AGCGAACGCUGGCGGCAGGCCUAACACAUGCAAGUCGAACGAACCUUUCGGGGUUAGUGGCGGACGGGUGAGUAACACGUGGGAACGUGCCUUUAGGUUCGGAAUAACUCAGGGAAACUUGUGCUAAUACCGAAUGUGCCCUUCGGGGGAAAGAUUUAUCGCCUUUAGAGCGGCCCGCGUCUGAUUAGCUAGUUGGUUGAGGUAAUGGCUCACCAAGGCGACGAUCAGUAGCUGGUCUGAGAGGAUGAUCAGCCACAUUGGGACUGAGACACGGCCCAAACUCCUACGGGAGGCAGCAGUGGGGAAUAUUGCGCAAUGGGCGAAAGCCUGACGCAGCCAUGCCGCGGGAAUGAUGAAGGUCUUAGGAUUGUAAAAUUCUUUCACCGGGGACGAUAAUGACGGUACCCGGAGAAGAAGCCCCGGCUAACUUCGCG
rnacentral:rRNA from 1 species